GACAGAGGUGCCAAGCGUUAGGCGGAAUCACUGGGCUUAAAGCGUGUGUAGGCGGAUCGUUAAGUACCUUGUGAAAUCCCACGGCUCAACCGUGGAACUGCUCGGUAUACUGGCGGUCUUGAGCCACCUAGGGGCAACUGGAACAAGCGGUGGAGCGGUGAAAUGCGUAGAUAUCAGGAAGAACACCUAUGGCGAAGGCAGCACUCUGGGACGGUACUGACGCUGAGACGCGAAAGCGUGGGGAGCGAACAGG
rnacentral:rRNA from 1 species